AUCCAAACACAUUCAGUGAGGAAGAGCACUGGCAGAAGGAGGAUGUGGCUUCUGAUGAAAGUCUGAAGGAGUUUGAGGGAGCGACUCUACGUUAUGCCUCCAUCAAUCUCAGUUUUUCUCAGUCUGAGGAGGAAGAGGAACAGACU